GUUUUCUAUAGUGAUGAUGUCCAUAUGGCCAUAUCUCCAAAAGAUUGAUCCGACAGCUGAUACAAGUUUUUUGGGCUGGGUUAUUGCUUCAUAUAGUCUUGGCCAAAUGGUAGCUUCACCUAUAUUUGGUUUAUGGUCUAAUUAUAGACCAAGAAAAGAGGCUCUUAUUGUCUCCAUCUUGAUUUCCGUGGCAGCCAACUGCCUCUAUGCAUAUCUCCACAUCCCAGCUUCCCAUAAUAAAUACUACAUGCUGGUUGCUCGUGGAUUGUUGGGAAUUGGAGCAGGAAAUGUAGCAGUUGUUAGAUCAUAUACUGCUGGUGCUACUUCCCUUCAGGAAAGAACAAGUUCCAUGGCAAACAUAAGCAUGUGUCAAGCAUUAGGUUUUAUUCUAGGUCCAGACAAGAUCUUACUCUGUUGCUCAGACUGGAGGGCAGUGGCACUAUCUCGGCUCAAUGCAACCUCCAUCUCCCGGAUUCAAGGAUUCUCAUACCUCAGCUUCCCGAGUAGCUGGGGCUACAGGUGCAUGCCAACACAUCCAGCUAAUUUUUGUUUCACCAUGUUGGCCAGGCUGAUCUUGAACUCCUGACCUCAAAGUGAUCUGCCCACCUCGGCCUCCCAAAGUGCUGAGAUUACAGGCAUGAGGCCAUGUGAGGCUGUGCCCGGCCUCAAGGUUUGGUCUUGAUUUACUAAACUACAUGUUGCUAAGUAGGGGAAAGGCAUGGAAGUAACAUUUUAAAUAGAUUAAUGGAUUUGUAUCAGUCUUAAAUAUAAAAGUUACUAGUAAUGUAUAUCUCUUAUCUUUUAUAUAUUCGAAAAAAUUUUUUUAAAUUAUGUUUUAUUUAGAGUGCUUUAUUCAAUAGUCUAAAAACAUUUAUUACUAAUGUUUAUAAUCACUGUAAAACUUCAAAUACUAAAGUAGAU
rnacentral:sRNA from 1 species